CCUCAAGCUGUUUUCCACUUCUCAACAUAAUAGCCUGACAUUGCUCGUGAUUACCCUUCGGAUUUCUCUCGGUGUCACAUGGUAAUGUUCCUUGUGGUCUAUUAUUCAAUGCUAAUGCAAUUUGUCCUAUAUGAUUCUCUAGAUUCUUGAUAGCCAUCUCUUGUGAUUUCAUUGUAUUUGCUUGAUUUUUCAUAGUCACCUCAUUGCUUGUUAUUUAUUUUGUCACCAACUCCUCUUCUGAUUUCCUUUCUUGAUGUUGAGCUGGUUGUUGAUUGUUCUAAAAUUCGGGAGGAUAUGAUGGUCGUGGAGCUUAUUGAUUCUGAUUAUUUUUCCAUGAAAAGUUUGGAUGAUUCCUAUUCCCUUGAUUGUACGCAUUCUGGUAUGUAUUAUUUGUAAUUCUA
rnacentral:lncRNA from 1 species